rnacentral:lncRNA from 1 species
UGAGAUCCUUGCAACAUAUCAUGUGGAAAUUUGGGCCGCACCAUUAUCAGUUGUUUCUGCUUAGGAGGUCCACUGGAGACAUUUAAUGUCGUCAUUAUCAAGUAGUAGUACUUAAACUGGAUGUUGGGUAGUAUGCAUUAUGUAUGAGUCAUGGCUCUAUGUCUAGUGAGUGGCUUCUUUUGGAUUGUAACUUGCACCAGUGUCAUUUUCUUGCAUGAAUCCUACUGGUUUAAUUUAGAAACAAUAUUAGAUGUUUCGAACUAUUUUAAUGCCUCCCUCCUCUGCUGUUUGCUUGCCCCAUAAUUUGACUCGUAUUGACAGACCAAAAACAACAUAAAUUCUGGAUUUUAAAAGAAUAUAGUUACUCAAUUUAUUAACUGUUGUCUGUUGCCACCAAGGCAUUGGCUUUUCUUGGUUAUAUUUCUUCUGUGGCAUGGCUGGAUUUCUUAUGCCUCAACCGAUCUUAUGCUAUUGCAGCCUUGAAAGAUCAGCGCAAUUUUCAAGUUUCGACGGAAGGUGUACAAUCAUGGCUCAAGCAAGAUGCCCCUUGAGUGUACCCUUUCUGAAGAAAAACUGGUCUUAAACAAAAUAUUUUCAAGCUGAAAGAGUAUGAAAAGGUCGGUCUGCAGCCAGUUGGAGACUCUUUUCAAAAAGAAAACAUGGCCUCUUAAACUUAACAUUUGUAUUUAGUGUAGACUAGAGAGAUACUGCAACCCUGGAGGCCCCAAAAACUUUUUAGUAAAAAAUGCCCCUGCCCCUAUCUUCCAUGGUCGGCGGUGGUGGCGGUGCCCGGCCUCCAAAGGGGCGGGGGUCGUGAGUCUCGCCCCGACGGGCCCCAGAGUUGCAGCGGAGCUAGGCGGGGAAGCGCGAUAGAGGUGCUGGCGCAUGCCAGUGGACACCCUGGUGGCGACACGGAGGUGGCUGCCGUGCGAGGUCCGCAUAGUGGUGCCGAAUGGUGGCGUAACCAGUCAAAUGUUACUCCUUUCAAGCCCGUUUCGUGUCUGCCGGACGCGACGACUCCCGGGACGGUGAAGCUGGAGAUUGUUGGCUCGGGUUGUGAGCUUUCGGUCGUGCUGGAGGUGGAAGAUUGGUUGCAUGCCCCUGUUUUUGUGCUGAUCUAUGGUGGACCGUGGCGUUUCGGCUAUGAAGACGAGGUGUUGCGGCAGCGAUGAUGUGAUCCAACUUGGACGGUGUAGCCCCCAAUCAGGUGGGUGAGGUUGUAGGUGUGCAGUGUUAUGGACGGCGCCCGUGCGUGUGUCGGCAUCUCCCCUCUCACAUUGGUGUUUGGUUGUCGUAUCCGCGUGAAAGGCUAGGUUUAGUUCCGAAUCGGCGAUGGCGGUGUUCUCAACGUCAUUCCUAUGUUGGGAGUAUUGUGUAUGGAGACACGGAGUGGAGAUCCGGUGUUGCGAUCGUUUGGUGCUCGUUGCUACCCUAGGUUGAGCUUUAGAGGCGCUACGUACGUCGUCACUGGUGCAUCCAAGACAAUACAUUUCUCAAGACCGACCAAGUCCUGACAUCUAUUCGGCAAGCACUUUUAGGCAAUCAUGGGUGGAUGGUUGAUUACAUAAGUCACGGUGGUAUGUUGUCGUGAGAGACGUCCGGUGUUUGUCUUUUGGUUUAGGGUAGGCACCUACUGUUGUGGUUGUGAUGUGUGCUAUAAUUCAUCUCCUUAAGGCGGCCUUGGUGUGGAGCUUGUGCUAUGCUUGUUGUGUGUAAUGAUUUGUUUAUGCCCUGUUAUUUUUCUUGAGGUAAUGCCAUUCAGCUAGCUUGAUUGAACUUCAAACACUGAUGCAUCAUCGUUUAUCAUCACUCUUGAAAAGAAAACAUCUGUAUAUAUAUGGUACAUGGAAGCAUCUUUAUACGGCAUAAUCAAUAGUUUAAUACGUCAUUGAGUAAUGAUACAUCAUCGUUUAUCAUCACUCUUGAAAAGAAAACAUUUGUAUACACCAGGACUCAACCGAACCAAACACACAUGAUCGAAUGUCACUUGUGCUGGACACACAGAGCAAAGCUAGGCUAGUCUUCCUCCCAGCCAAACCAACUCAGAAGCCACAAGCAGAAAAAUUAAGCCCUACCUCACAAAAUUAAAGCCCUACCACCAUGAACAUGGUUCGAAAUGGUACAAUACAAAUUUCAGUUAUAUAAUGUUGAACAAGGCUCAAAGGCUUACAACAACAGCAAUUUCCCGCCGGUGUUAGACAUGCAUUCCGCUCUGACAACACAUAACAAGCCAUCUAGCUAAACAGUCACCCAGCUCGCAUUCCCAGGCAUUGCGCUUGCAAUCAAGUUUGGGCAAUCUCGCAAUCGACCGUGUGAUCCCCUAGCCUGCAAAUAAUCAACAAACGUGUGAGCUAACUUCACAUAUUAUGUAUGAUUGACUAUCAAGUGCCAUAGCUCACAUUUCGAUCACUUCAUCAAUAAAAGCCUGAACAGAUGGAGGGCAUGGCUUAUUUGGGUCUUUGAAUGUUAUAAGAAUGGAAAACAGUAGCUGAGGUAGAUAGUUUUUAUGCUUCGUCGCCAACGCAAACGCUGCAUCCCGCUGUUCUAGAGGGAAGCCCUGCAUCGGAAGAAGAUUGUAUCAGCUUGUCAUACAAAAUUACAAGAGGGUGUGUAUCCGAAGAGAAAGGCUAAACAUCUUACAUUGUGAUGCUUAAAAAAAUUGCUAGAGAAUUUGAGCAAGCUGACUCCAUUAUCCUUAUAAGGGGUACAUAUGGUCCCAGCUCUAUCAUACCACCAGUGAAAGAAAUACGUGUGGUGCAUUGCAGGAACCUUCUCCAACCUGCUCCCCCAAUAGAAAUUUUCAAGUAUAGCUAUCAAGGCCUCUGAAUCAUCUUCACUGAGCCUUGUAAGCAACAUAUCGAGAACUGCAGUGAUCUGAAUUCUUCGAGAAUAUGUUAACAGCGAGACGUGAUUCGUGACAAAAGCAAUCACAGCCUUACUUCGAUAAUCAACAGCAGGACCAUUUGAUAGGAAAUUGAUAAGAUUAUAGAAAUAGGUUGGAUAUUUGUUAAUUCCAGCUCCUAAGGCAUCGUCAAAUAUUCCAGAAACUGCACCAUAAUCAAAUAAGGCAAGUCCUUGACUAUACUCUUGAGGAGCAGCAUCAAUAUGCACAUUACCAUCGGCAUCGAAGAGAAUUUGCUUGGAAGUGAAGCCUCCGAAACAAAUUCCAACGUAAUGUUUUCUGCCAAGGUAUAUAAGCACCUUUUGACACCGAACCUGUAGUGGAUGAUCCAGGUACCACACUUUCAUUGCUGGACGUAUCUUGCUCUGAUAGGGGAGAAGUAGGUCCCAUGGCAAAGCCACACCGUGGUAGAGAUUCAGAGUAAUGAUUACAUCAUCCCAGUUUUUGCGACCAGCACUGCAAAACAAACACAAUUUAGUGCUUUUACAAUACACAGGGACCCAAAGUAUUGCAGGAAAAAAAAAAGAUAGGCCAGCACAUUACAGUUAACAGCAAUCUAACGGAAAAAAAAGCACCACGAAUCAGUUUUCGGGAACAUGUUAGUACAACAGAUGUAUCACUAGAGUCACUGCUACAGAAACAUGUCAAAUAGCACAGCACAACACAGUUAACAGCGGUCUAAGGUAAAAAAAAAGUACCAAGAAUCAGUACUUCAGGAGCAUUCAGCUCACAAUUUACAGUAAGGUAAAAAAACUGUAGCAUCAAACUAAAAAUACAGUAAUAAUAAGAUUUAUAAUUAAAACCUACCUGCCACCUCGUAGUCUAGGAUUAAUAUAAACCAUAGAAUCCUUCUGGAGUUGAUAAUAUGACAAAACUUUAUUCGGCUCCAGAAUUCUUCCACAGAAGGUCGAAUAGAGAUCAGUGAGACUAACUCCCGCACACCGGCAAACAUGCUCGAUUAGCAUAUUUGCACUUAAUAUGUCAAGGUUCUCCUGAACAGGAAUAGUUGCUCCACAAAAUUUCACAAGUAUCUGAGAAUAAAACAUAUGUCAAAUAUAGAACAUAGGGAGAACUACGGUAGUAUAGGUUUCAUUCUCUGUUAUCCAACCACAAGUGCAGAUGUAUAGGGAGUACAAAUCAGGUGUACAAAUGGGGGCAGAAAAGAGGCAGUACCUGAACAGUGUUAUUAGCGGAUUUUUUAAUGCUUGCAAUAGUAGAAGAGCUGUUGUUUGCUUCUCUGUUAUCCCUUGCUCUUUGAGCCAACUGCUUCACCUCCUCACCGAUUGUACCAAGUUGUUUCUUGUCUGCAUCCUGCAACACAAGUAAUGAGUUAGAAAAGAGAGAGAGAGAAAUGCACAACCCGAACUAGCUAGUUUUGACUAGCUUACCCUAACUAUUGAAAUGAGAAACCCACGUAAUGUCAAGAGAUAGUGCACAUAUAGAAGUGCAUCAAUGCUCUAAAGGUCACAAACAGAAUAUCGGUUUAUGAGUACUACAAAGCCAAAGCUAUACAAAUACACAAAAGAAAACAAUGUCCGUACAUCAGAUCAGUAGAUAUCCACCCACAAACACAUUUAGAAACAAUAGAAUAAAUGACACAGCCUGAAAUUGAUUGCCAAACUUUGUUGUGCAAUAUAGGAAAAUCUAAAGAAAGUUACCUAUAAAAUUCAUAGCAUUUCAGAAGUACAUGCAGUGAGCAUAGUAAAAUCGAGAAAUUUAGGAUAAAACUAACACGAUCGUUAAAUUGAGAAUUUCAGAAUAAAACUAGGAUUUCAGAAGUUCAGACAACAUACAAUAUCAUUAUUGGCAGACUCUGGAAAAUCCAAACCCACGAGGUCACCAGCACAUCCAAAUAUUUGGCACAAAUUUGAUUUUAAAUCCAUAAAUAAAAUAAAACUGUUGGAGUAAGUUAGUUAUGCUCAAUCUAUAGUUAAUUUUUAGAUGAUGCGGACACUACUAGAAAGAAAUGGAUUGGAGUGCCGACCUUGAAACGGUCCAUGGGUUUGACAACUGCUUCCCGGGCAGCAGUGGUAUCAAGACCCACAUCAGCAUGAGUAACACAGAAGAGUUUUUCUUUAGAAACAGCAGCUUCUGCAGCAUCUAUGUCAGUCUUGGCAGCCUUUUGGACAUUUUCUUUGCCCGUUUUCUUCUCCGCCUCCCUUAGUUGAUCCUGAUGUAUGCAACAGCUAUAAUCAGCUUUCAUUUUAACUACCAAUAGAAUACCAAAUAUCGUAAAUAUUCUCUUUGACAAGAUGUGGCAAAUGAACUGAAGCAUUUACAGACCUCCAACUUUGAGACAUUGCCUUUUAGAUCAGCUUUUCUUGCAGCUGGGAUAGCAGCUGCAUCCAGUGUAUUAUUGAUCGAUCCAAUUUUCUGAUGAAGAAACAACAUUCUUAGUUACAAUCUAAUACAAAGCAGGUCAACAGGAAAUGGCUACAAAGUACAAUUGGCAUCAUCUUUCAUAUAAAGGUUAAGGACAUAAUGUUUCUAAGAAAACAAACAAACUCACAGUAAGUUUUAAUAAUAUCCAAUUUAUCAGAGCAGAGAGCACCACAACCAUAUAGCUCACACUAAAAGAGACACAAGCACAGAGGGGGAAAAGUUUACCUUUUCCAAUGUCGCUCCGUCCAGUUUAGUUGCUUCAUUGAUAUCAGAUAACCAUUCUUUGCUUUCAGGGUUGGCAAGCACAUCUUCCAGUUUGCGACCAAUCGAUACAACUCUUACAGGAUCAGCGUAGAUCUACAAAGCCCAUAUGUAAAAGGAAUUACACAAAAUAACAGGGCAGGCAAACGAGAUAUGACAACAUGGUAUGUCGAGCUGGGUAAGAGAACGCACUUCACCAAACACAGCUCGAAGACCAUUCACGCGCUUUGGGUUGGCUAAUUUUAUUUCUUGUGCAGAUAACUCCAGCUCAGCCUCUAUUCGCUGCUUCACUAUAGACUCAAUUUUUCGCAAAUCUUCUGGUUGGACAGGUUUCCCUGUUAUGUACUAACAGUUGAGUAGACAAGCUGAGGAAAAAAACAAAAAGUGGAUGCAGUAUAAAAAGAAUCACAGCAUACCAUGGGAGAAAUCAAAUCUCAGCUUCUCUGAAAGAGCAAUGGAACCUUUCUGGUCAAUACAGUCACCAAUUACUUCCUACAUUUGCAAUAGCGAAACCAUCAUGAGCACAAAAAAGCACUCCCUGUAAAAUCUGAGAGGCUUGAAAACAUACCCUUAGAGCAAAGUUCAGCAUAUGGGUACAUGUUUGGUUUGGAGCAUUAGAGUACGCAGUAGUAGAAGUAUUGCAGUGUAAUUUAGCAAAUUUCAUAGGUUACUGAUUCAGUAUAAAGAAUUAAUAAGUAAAGAAUGUUACCUUGUAUUUCACUUCAUCGCCAACAGACAAUGUCUUGGAGUCAGGCCCUUCCAGAAAUGAACCGGUAUGCAGGACAUAGCCAGCAAACACUUGGACAUUGUUCACAGUGAAAGAUCCAGAUGGCCCCUCGAUACUCCCGGUGUCAUACAUCUGAUCCAGAAAUAAAAUAUGGCGUGUCAAAAGAAUUCAUGCAACGCAUGGCGCAACUCUCAAACAUGCAGAAGAGAGGUGCAUUCGAAAUAGAACAAGGAAAAGUUUAUAUAUACAACCUGGAACCACACACAAGAUCUAGAAGUGUUGUUACAGCAACAAAUAUGAACAAGGGAAUGCACUAUCCUGGCAGUGUGGUUACAGCAACAAGAUAUGAACAAGGGAAUGCACGUCCCUCAUAUAUAUAGCGCGCGCUCACAUAAACAAACAACCACGUCCACACCUACGGGCUACAGCGGGCACACACAUGACAUGAGCCAGCACCGAUGAAGGUGCAUAUUGUAACUCCAGCAGAAUUUCAAGCGCGUGCGUGCACACGAGAACAAGGGAGAAGGCCAUACCUCUGCGCGCAGAUCCGCAGUGGGGGCCGCAGCCCGUGGCCUCGAGGUGCCGUAGUAGUCGUCGUGGGUGUCCUUGUGGCCGCGACCCCCUCCAACUGCCACCGGAAUGCAGGCCCCCAUCUGCGCGCACCGCGUCGAGUCCCUCCGUGGCGGCGUGGGGCACCGCCGCACCAGGCUCGGGUUUUGGAAGCCGCACCGCGCGACCGACUCUUCGAAGCCGUCCGAGGGCACUCCGCCGCGGCUCACCUCCACGCGCAUCUCGUCGCACUUGCUCUUCUGGCCCCGCCCUCCGCGGCCGCCCUUGAUGCCGAGGGCCGUCGACGCGCUGACCGGAGUAGGGCGUCGGCGCGGGGUGUCGGUGUAGCUUCCGCACGUCCGCACGGCCUCCUCGGCGCCGGCCGCAGACGUGCCCUCACCGUCGCCGACCCGUACAGGGCGUCGUCGUCGCGGAACCGCGUCGUGGUGGCGGUAGCGCUCGAUGUGGCACCCGCACGUCGGCAACGCCUCCUGGACGACAUCGGCGACCGCGCCCUUGCCGCGCAUCUCCCCCGGCACCACGCGCCUCUCAAGCGUCCGGCUCCCGCCCUCGCCCGCCGCCCUCGCCGCAGGUGUACGAGCGGCUGACCUGGCCUCGUCGUUCGCGUGGCGCCGGGUCGGGCAGAUGCCGCCGGAUCUGGCGCAGCGGCCGACGCUGGCCGACUCCUCGUCCUCCCCCUCGGCCGGGUCGCCGCCCCGCCCCUCCCCCUUGGACGGCGCCAUGCCGCCGAGACCUCCCUCAGCCGCCGCUAAACCCUACCCAACAGCGGAAAGGGAGGGGAGAAGGGGAGAGACAGGAAGGCGAGGAGGCCGCGCGGGGUGAAUGAUUGGGGGCGCGGAGUGUUUGGGUUUCCGUUGGCUGGGUCCCGGGUUUGGGGAUGCGGGUGGGGCCGGGGUGUCAGUCUUACCCUGUGGCACUUUCAGUCAACACCCUUGUUCAUUCAGAGAAAGGGGUGUAGCAGAUCCGGCAAUACCGAUUCAGAGGAACGGACGGCUACGAUUGCAUUUCUACCGUUCACUGUCUUACGCUCGCUAUUGUUUUCCAGCCUAUAACUAGCCGGGAUGUGGUUGGAGAGGUUCAUUGUUGAAUCCCCGCUUGCUACCUACCAUGGCUAGCACGUGAACCCUACAUUCGUCGCCCUAUAGAAAUAAUAGUUCGGACCCGGUCGAUAGUUCCCACAUUCUUCGUCGAUUUACAAUUCAUCUCUUGUUCGGGUCCUAACAAAUUGGUAUCAUGAGUCAUCGAUCCUUGGCGGAGGCAUUUCCUUUAUGAGUCAAGACUUCUUUGGUGACGCCCUUUGGGCAGUCUAAUGCACCGGGCACUUUCCAAGCAUUGAUGAACAACAUUUUUGGCCCUUAUUCGAGACAGUUUGUGUAAGUGUUCUUUGAUGAUAUACUCAUUUACAAUAAAGCUCUGAAAGAUGACAUGGAACACAUUGAGAUUGUCCUGGGAGUUUUAAAGGAAAACCAGUUAUGUGCAAAGUUAUCUAAGUGUGUUUUUGCAUUAGAACAAGUAGAAUAUCUGGGUCAUAUGAUCUCUGUGGCAUGAGUAGCCACUAAUCCACAAAAAUUCAAAGCUGUUGCAGACUAGCCAACACCUGAUAGUGUUACAAAAUUAAAAUGCUUCCUUGGGUGAGCAGGUUAUAUAGAAAACUUAUUAAAGGGUAUGGAGUUAUCUGCACACCCUUACAUGAUCUAUUAGAAAGGACAAUUUUCCUGGAAGAGUGAACAUGGCAAAGCUUUUGCUCAGCUCCAAAAUGCUCUCAUUACAACCCCAGUUCUAGCCCUACCAAAUACCUCUCAGCCUUUUAUCUUGGAGACUGAUGCUUCUGGUAAAGGAAUUUGGCGCAAUGUUGAUGCAGCAUGGAAGACCUCCAACAUACUACAACUCUUCCUUGUGCCCUAGAAAUAUUGCACUUUCCACUCAUGAAAAAGAGACUGUGGCUAUUCUAGAAGCACUUAAAAGAUGGAGACUAUCUAAUUGGAAAUGAACUCAUCAUCAAAACAAAUCAACGGUCUCUUAAAUUCAUUACUGAUCAGAAAAUAACAGAGGGUGUUCAACAUAAAUUUUCAUAGAGGGACUUCCACAAUCUGAAGGCAAUGAAGUAAUAUUGGUGGUAGUGGACAGAUUUACUAGGCAUGCUCAUUUUGUACCACUAGCACAUCUAUACACUGUCCGUGGUGUAGCACGUGCCUUUGUGGACAACAUUAUCAGAUUGCAUGGCCCUCCUAAGCUCAUUAUUUCAGACAUGGACGGAAUUUUCACUACUAAAUUGUGGAAGGAUAUUUUUGCUAGUUUGAAAAGUGAACUGAGGUACAUUAUUCCUGCCAUCCUCAAACUGAUGGUCAAACUGAGAGGGUAAACCAAUGUGUGGAAACUUAUCUUAGGCGCAUGACAACCAAUGAACCCAAGAAAUGGUGUUCUUGGCUUUCUUUGGUAGAGUUUUGGUAUAAAACUACAUAUCAUACCACCCUGAAAAUGUCUCCCUUUCAAGCUAUUUAUGGUUUUCCUCCACCCUUGAUCUUUGAGCUGGCUAUUCCGGAACCUGAGGAUGAAGAAGCGCACACCUUCUUGUCUGUUAAACAACACAUGUUGGAACAACUGAAAGACAACUUACAACAAGCCUAGAACAGAAUGAAAAGAUAUGUAGAUCUCAAGAGAAGUGAAAGAGUGUUUGAGGUUGGAGACAUGGUGUAUCUUAAAAUAGAACCAUAUAGGCUAGCAACUUUCGGAUUCAGAGGAGCUCUGAAAUUUACAAAACAAAUAUUAUGGACCAUUCUUGAUCAUCCAGAAGAUUGGCAAGAUGGCUCACAAACUUCAAUUUCGUGACCAUGUGAAAAUCCACCAUGUUUUUCAUGUGAGUCAACUAAAGAAGCACAUUGGCAGCAAAUCCAUACCUAGCCCAAAUUUACCCAUGGUCACUUCUGAUCGAACUAUCAAAACAGGUCCUCCUUUAGUCUUACAAGUGAGGCAAGUUCCUAGAAAUAACUUGCCUGUGUGUAGUGGUACAUCCAGUGGGAGGAUUUGUCACCUGGAGAGGCAACAUGGGAAGACGCGGAAUUUAUCAAGUACAUAUUUCCAAAGUUCUUCAAGACAACAACUCAAAUCUGGCGUGCAAAUCAACAAGCGCCAUGAGGACACGUCGUUUCUCAAGGGAGGGGCAAUGGCAGGCUUAGACUAUCGCACGUUCAGUUAACAUCGUUGUUCAUUCAAAGAAGGGGUGUAGCAGAUCUGGCUCCUUACUCAGACGACUAGUCGCCAUCGCAUGAUUUACUUUACCGUUGUCGUUGAAGCAUUUCUACCUUUCACUGUUUUACGCUCGCUAUUGUUUUCCGGCCUAUAACCAGCCGAGAUGUGUCUCGAGAGGUUCAUUGUUGAAUUCCCCAAUUGGUACCUGCCAUGGCUAACAUAUGAACCCUGCACUCUUCGCCCUAUAGAAAUAAUAGUUCAGAUCCGGUCAAUAGUUGCCAAAUUCUUCGUAAAUUUAUAAUUCAUCUCCUCAAAUAUUGUUUUGGGUCCUCACAAAUUGGUAUCAUGAGCCAUCAAUCCUUGGCAGAGGCGUUUCUUGGUGAGAAAAAAAUUGUCAAAUCGGUGAUUCACACCCCUUUUCCCACACUUCUUCGUGAGUAACGGCGAAGGUGGUGUAUCGGGCGGCGUCGACAGAGGGGUUGAGGUUCGGGGUGGCGGUGUGGAGGCGCUCGAGUCGGUGAGAGUUCGGGUAUGGAUCAGUAGAGCAGAGGUGGUUGUUCGAGUACUCUGCUCGAGCGGUAAAAUCCCACGUUCAAGCAUUGAUCCGUGUGCCAGGGAGGCGUGGAUCUCGGUGGCGGCAGGAUCAGAGGUUUAGGGAUGGUUGCAAGGUGAUUCCUAGUGGUAAAAUUCCCAACCUACACCUCAGACCAAGGGGAUGGGACCCGCAAAAGCAAUCGAUGAGGCGGAUCUUCAAGAGGUUCUAUCCUUGCACAAUGAUUUGGUGUUCUGCUAAAAGAUAGUGCCCAAAUGCAAACUCAGGUGUCUAAAUUACAAGAGGAAGCACAGUCGAUAAGUUCCAAGCAGGGAGGAAUUUCAUUACAAGUUGGGUAUGUAGAGAAAGUACUUUUGGACUUCAGUAAGCAACUUUCAGCUAUCAGCAGUUCUGUUCUUCACACAUUGGUGAAAACAAUGUAGAACAUGCCUCAAAGUGAUAACCCUUCCAGUUUGACUCAAGUGCUCAGAUCUCCUACCUUGCAUCAUGAGCAAACACAUGAAAAAGUUGAAAGAGUGAAUCGGUUGAGGAAGCAAUUAGCAGCAGAGAACGAAACAUCUAAGCAAUUGGAGAACUUAGAAAUGUUAGAACUAACAGGGCAACAACGCCUCCUGGGUUUCCCAUCCAAGUGAGACAGGACACUAAUAGUGUGGCAGUAAACCCAGUUACCGCAAAAAAAAUGUACACACUCCUGCAUUCAAUAAGUUUUAUCAACAGAACAAAGACAUGCAACUAUGGCAAGGUUAUUGUAGAACAUAUGUACGAGAGGUGCAAGCACAGUUCAUGAAAUCCUUAACUAAAAGUCCCAAACUAUAUUUUCCGGAGAAUAUCCAAUAGGCUAGAUAAGGCAAUGCAAUAAAUAUUUUUAGAUGUUUGUUGCACCUGAGGGGUUAAAAGUAUCUCUUGUUCAAAUGUAUGUCACCGAUGAAGCUGGUAUAUGGUUGAGAAGACAUGGGAAAUCGAAGAAACAACUCUCCUUGAAAUAGUUUGGAGUUGAGAUGGUGAGGAUAUUUUCAGAGCAAGGCUCUUAUGACUUAAUUGAAACCUUUGAAGGGAUAAUGGAAGAUGUGCUGGAAGAAAAUGCUGAGCUGGGAGAAUUGUGGUUUGUCAGGUGUUAUGUGAAUGAUUUAAGCGAGGGAAUUAAAUUACAGGUUAGACCAUUAAGGCCACAAUCACUCACUGAUGCUUAUUGUCUAGCCAAGGAAGUGGAACCUAACUAUCCUACAGUUAGUGCCAUCCCUAAGAAGCAAAUCAGUCCUUAUGUCAAUUAUUAUCAGAAGAACAAUGGAAGUUUCCAGAACAAAAAUAGUAACACAACAACACAUAUACAACAGAGUAUACCUGUCAAACAAACAGAAAGCACUACUGGCACAUUUCAAAAACUCGGGAAAGUAGGAGAGUGUUGGAGGUAUGGAGACAAGUGGAUGCAUGGUCAUACAUGCAAGCUCAUUCCUAAUGUUCACUUAAUGCAACAAUAAUUGGGAGAGCAAACUUCUAACGCAGAAGAAACUAUUCGAAAAAUACAAGAGGAAAUUCCUGAAGAAGAGGAACAAGCUAUGUUCAUUACUUAAGGACGAUGUUAUCAACCGCUCCUCGGUGACCUCCCCAGCAGGGGAAACGAAGACCCUCUUGCAUGGGAGCACAGAGAAUCUUAUCGAGCAUGUCCUCCUCUCCAUCAACGACGCUGCUCACCUAGCGACUCACAUUGUGGCGUACCACUCGACGCGAUAGACUUAUAUCUAAACGCAGCAAAACUUAUGCAGCGUUUGAGUUUGUUGGUUUGUUGCACCUUGGAUGCUUUUUUCUUUCUUUCGUUCUGUUACCUUUCUGGUAGUGGGAUACGAUCCAUUUUUUGAUCGAAUGGAAAAAAAUCACGCCCACUAACAAGUGUAUUUGCACAUGUAUUGUGGAAAGGACCUCCGUCCGGAAAUACUUAUUGGAGAAAUGGAUGUAUCUAGACAUAUUUCAGUUAUAGACAUAUCCAUUUCAUGAGUAAUUCCGUACGGAGGGAGUAGAAAAUAAUCCAUCUCUAUAUACGGCAACAACAUUCUUCGGUUGGGUUGACUAGCCCACGCGCGUCGAAUCCGUGUGGCACACCAUUUUAUUUUCUAUCUCUUUCUCUCCCCCACAAACAUGUGGGACUUGCUACCACGGUGGCAUGCCAUGUAGGUGGAAUCAACAAAACAGAAGUGACGGAUAUCUGCCCAAGUGUUCCCGAACAUCAAGUUACAUGAUCAACUUGUGUCUUUCCUAAGUUAUCGUAUGACUAUGUGUAAGGGCAUAUUUAUCCCUUAGUUGUUUUGGUGAUUGAUGACAAUGCUUUUGCGGACUAAUCGUGUGCAUUGAGUAUUUCAGACAUAUCAUGACUAGGCACAAGACGAUUUGGUGCCCCUCAAAGACUAUUGAAGACGGCAUUUCUCUACGUUUCUUUUCGGUGGAUUUGAGUCAUAGGAAAGCCGUACUAUUAAGAGGGGGUCCGCUUUGGAAAGGUUUGGGUGGAAUCAUCAUGUACACGUCUACUCCUUUUGCACCACCUUCCUUUGGCUCUUUGGAGCGUCCUCCGUCUUUCCUUGUCUAUGCAAAAUGUCGUGUUGCUGAACUGGGGCAUGCGGUAGUACUGCUCCUCGGAGCGGUAGUAUCGCAGGCCCUUGCGGUAGUACCGGCUCCUGGUGCGGUAGUACCACAAGUGCCCACGGUAGUACCACACCCUUGGUGCGGUGGUACUUGUGGCCCCAGGCCAGGCGGCUGCUGCGUUUGCGGUAGUAGGGGCGAAUGUAAUUUUUUACAUCCGCGCCCUACGCAGGAGUACCGUGCGCUCUGGCCAGGCUCAGCUGCAUGCGCGGCAGUAGGAGCGGAUGUAAUUUUUUACAUUCGCACCCCGCGCGGUAGUACCGCUCCUGGCUUGCAGUACUACCAUGCCGGAUUUUUGCAUAGAUCCCAACUCAGCAGAAGUUGCCACGGAUGUAUUUUUAUAUGUAUGUGCCUUCCCAAAAUCUGGACUAUCACUGCCUUGCGGUAGUACCGCAAGGGGGAGCGGUAGUACCGCACCAGCGGUUCUACCGCCCUCUGCUUCAUCACAUCAAGGCUGUUCUGGUUUCUGCUGCACGGGCGGUAGUACCGCGGGGCCCUGCGGUAGUACCGUGUGCCCUUGCGGUAGUACCGUGCUAUGCAGGCUGAGUUGGUGGGUAACGGUUGGAUUUGUUCUUCCACUAUAUAAGGGGUGUCUUCUUCUCCAAGAAGACUUACCUCUUCUUCCCCAAAACUCCAUUGUUGCUCCACAAGCUUAUUUUCGCCCGAUCUCUCUCCCUAGCCAAUCAAACUUGUUGAUUUUCUAGGGAUUGGUUGAGAAGGCCCAGAUCUACACUUCCACCAAGAGAAAUUUGAUUCCCCCCACUAAUCCCUUGCGGAUCUUGUUACUCUUGGGUGUUUGAGCACCCUAGACGGUUGAGGUCACCUCGGAGCCAUAUUCCAUUGUGGUGAAGCUCCGUGGUUUCGUUGGGAGCCUCCAAUUAAGUUGUGGAGAGAGCCCCAACCUUGUUUGUAAAGGUCCGGUUGCCGCCUUCAAGGGCACCAAUAGUGGAAUCACGGCAUCUCGCAUUUGUGUGAGGGCGUGAGGAGAAUACGGUGGCCCUAGUGGCUUCUUGGGGAGCAUUGUGCCUCCACACCGCUCCAACGGAGACGUACUUCCCCUCAAAAGGAAGGAACUUCGGUAACACAUCCUCGUCUUCACCGGCUCCACUCUUGGUUAUCUCGUGCCUUUACUUGUGCAAGCUUAUUUGUGUUAUAUCCCUUACUUGCUCGUGUGCUUGUUGUUGUUGCAUCAUAUAGGUUGCUCACCUAGUUGCAUAUCUAGACAACCUACUUUGAUGCAAAGUUUAAAUUGGUAAAGAAAAGCUAAAAAUUGUUAGUUGCCUAUUCACCCCCCCUCUAGUCAACUAUAUUGAUCCUUUCAAUUGGUAUCAGAGCCUCGUCUCUUCAUUAAGGACUUCACCGUCCGAAGAGUAUGGUUGACACCGUAGACGGUGGGGAGGAGCACUCCAGUGUGAAUCCGUUCUCGUCUACGGCCGAUGGGGGAACCACGGUCUCUCGUGAGGAAUUCAAUCUGGCUUUGGACACAUUGAAAACCUCCAUGACGACCGAGGUUGAAAGCAUGUUUAACAAAUUCCUAGAAGGGCUUAAACUAUCCACCGCACCGAUGAAAGUGGGUGAUCCCACUAACAAGGUGACGGAUGCUAAAUCUGAUAAGGGGGAAGCUACUAGUGAAAAGGCUCCUUUUUCUAGUGGUAAAAAUGGCACCGGCAUCUUUGCCCAUGUGGAACCUCCGCUCACUUAUGGUGGACCGAUUCCUUCAACUCAUUUGAAUCAUGCCGGUCCUCCCCCCAAGAUUGUGAAAAAUGAGGACUUUGAUUCUUGGGUUUAUCGCUUUAAGCGUCAUUUAAACCAUGUUAAUACUAAUUUGGAGAAUCAUUGAAGAAGGUUUCCAUCCGCAUGAUCGAAGCAACUUCACCCCUAGAGAAUCCGCGGAUAAUCAAUUCAAUGAGAAUGCUCUCUUCAUCAUCCAAGAUGCAAUUCCACCAGAAGAUCUUGCUCAUCUCCGACCCUUCACCAUUGCCAAGGAUGCAUGGCGCCAUGUUGUUUCCCUCUACAGGGGAAGCGCAAGCAUUCAACGCUCCAACUAUGAAGUGGUGCAAGAUGAAGCCGAUGAGUUCGCAAUGAAAAAAGAUGAAGAACCUCGUGAGCUUUAUCGGAGAUUAUCUACUCUCGCGGUCUCGCUCCGAGAUCAUGGGAGCAAAGAUACGGAUGACAAUUGGAUCAAGCGCAAAUUCCUCAAGGCCAUGAUGCCUUACCACAAGGCCAUGUCCUCCGUCAUUCGUCAAAGGCCGGAUUUCCACACCUUGUCCUCAAGUGAAGUGUUGGACGAGUUUGUGGCUAUGAGUAUCUUGGACAAGACCGCCGACAAUGCAGUGUUACGUUCUCAAAGAGCAAAGAAGCCCAACCUUGCCUUGAAGGCCAAGGAUAGUGUAGAAGAAGAUGAUGAAGAGGAAGAAUAGGAGAGCAACCCCGAAGAUACAAAGUAUGCUUAUCAUGAGCACAUGGCUCUCGCUUCAAGGCAAUUUUGGAGCAAGAAGAAGACAAGGCCCAACUUCAACAAGAGCAACUCAAGUAGCACGAAGGGCAAGCAACGUGUGAGGACUUGCUAUAAUUGUGGCAAUGUGAGCCACUUUGUUGCGGAAUUCCCAUAUGAGAAGAGGGAAGACAAUGGUGGCAAGCUCAUCCGAAAAGACAAGGCCAAGUCUUUCCCCAACAAGAGCAACUUCACCAAGAAGACUCCUCCCAAGGGAUUGGUGGCACAAGAAGAGUACAAUGAGGAUGAUGAAGACGGUGAGUCGGGUGCCAUGGCCUCCGUUGCCAUUGCAACAACUCCAAGGGUGUCUCUCUUCGACUCACCUAAUGAGAACAUCACCGCCAAGUGCCUCAUGGCCAAAGCCACCAACAAGGUAACCCCCAACAUCAAAACUACCAUCAUUACUAAUCCUUCUUUGAUGGAUUGCAUUGAUGAAAAUGAGGGUUCUAGUGGGGAGGAAAAUGAAUUUGAGUCUUUUAUGAGUAAACUUAAGGGUAAAUCCAAGAAGCACUUUGUUGCUCUCUUGGAACAACUUGGUGAAGCCAAUGACAUGAUUGAGGCUCACGAAGAAACCAUCUCUAAGAUGGAGGGGCAUAGUCGUGACAAUGCCGAUGAGAUAUCGGAUCUCUCUAACGCUCUUGAAGAAGAGCGUGGACAUCGUUUGGCUCUUGAGGAGUCAUACAACGAUGAUCAUGCUAAACUAAAGAAAGAUCUUGAUCAUGCUGUUGUUGUAUCUCGUGUGCUAAAUUCCGAGAAUGCCAAACUUGGGGUCGAUCUUGCUAGACUCAAGGAGGAGUUUGAUAUACUUGACAAGGCCCACAAGGCCUUGAAGGGUAUUCAUGCUAGUCUUAAGGAGUCUCGUGAUCAACUUCAAGUGAAGCUAACUGCUACCUCUUGAGCACAGCGUUGGUUUUCCCUUGAAGAGGAAAGGGUGAUGCAGCAAAGUAGCGUGAUUAUUUCCCUCAGUUUUUGAGAACCAAUGUAUCAAUCCAGUAGGAGGCCACACACAAGUCCCACGCACCUACACAAACAAAUAAGAACCUUGCAACCAACGCGAUAAAGGGGUUGUCAAGCCCUUCACGGCCACUUGCAAAAGUGAGAUCUGAUAGAGAUGAUAAGAUAAUAUUUUUGGUAUUUUUAUGAUAAAGACUGAAAGUAAAGAAAGCAAAAUAAACGGCAACAGAAAUAGCUAGUUCAGGGAAGAUUAAUAUGAUGGAAAAUAGACCCGGGGGCCAUAGGUUUCACUAGUGGCUUCUCUCAAGAUAGCAUAAGUAUUACGGUGGGUAAACGAAUUACUGUCAAGCAAUUGAUAGAAUUGAGCAUAGUUAUGAGAAUAUCUAGGCAUGAUCAUGUAUAUAGGCAUCACGUCCGCGACAAGUAGACCGACUCCUGCCUGCAUCUACUACUACUACUCCACACAUCGACCGCUAUCCAGCAUGCAUCUAGAGUAUUAAGUUCAUAAAUGCAUCUAGAGUAUUAAGUUCAUAAGAACAGAGUAAACGCAUUAGGUAAGAUUACAUGAUGUAGAGGGAUAAACUCAAGCAAUAUGAUAUAAACCCCAUGUUUUUAUCCUCGAUGGCAACAAUACAAUACGUGUCAUUUCCCUUUCUGUCACUGGGAUUGAGCACCGCAAGAUUGAACCCAAAGCUAAGCACUUCUCCCAUUGCAAGAAAGAUCAAUCUAGUAGGCCAAACCAAACUGAUAAUUCGAAGAGAUUGCAAAGACAACCAAUCAUACAUAAAAGAAUUCAGAGGAUAAUCAAAUAUUGUUCAUAGAUAAUCUUGAUCAUAAACCCACAAUUCAUCGGAUCUCGACAAACACACCACAAAAGAAGAUUACAUCGAAUAGAUCUCCAAGAGAAUCGAGGAGAACUUUGUAUUGAGAUCCAAAGAGAGAGAAGAAGCCAUCUAGCUAAUAACUAUGGACCCAAAGGUCUGAGGUAAACUACUCACACAUCAUCGGAGAGGCUAUGGUGUUGAUGUAGAAGCCCUCCGUGAUCAAUGCCCCCUCCGGCGGAGCGCCGAAAAAGGCCCCAAGAUGGGAUCUCACGGGUACAGAAGGUUGCGGCGGUGGAAAUAGGGUUUCGUGGUGCUCCUGGAUGUUUUCGGGGUACGUAGGUAUAUAUAGGAGGAAGAAGUAGGUCGGUGGAGCUACGAGGGGCCCAUGAGGGUGGGGGCGCGCCCAGGGGGCAGACGCGCCUCCCUGCCUCGUGGUCUCCUCGUUGAUUUCUUGACGUCCACUCCAAGUCCUCUGGAUCACGUUUGUUCCGAAAAUCACGUUCCCGAAGGUUUCAUUCCGUUUGGACUCCGUUUGAUAUUCCUUUUCUGCGAAACACUGAAAUAGGCAAAAAAAUAGCAAUUUGGGCUGGGCCUCCGAUUAAUAGGUUAGUCCCAAAAAUAAUAUAAAAGUGUAUGAUAAAGCCCAUUAAACAUCCAAAACAGAUAAUAUACUAGCAUGGAACAAUCAAAAAUUAUAGAUACGUUGGAGACGUAUCACUAACCAAGGAGAAAGCCACCUUUCCUCAUAUGGUUUUAAUUGAUAAUGCAAAUGCUACUAACCCAUGUUGUGAGCAUGUGCAUCUUGUUGAGGAGAAUGCAAAGUUGAAGAAGCAACUUGAGAAAGGCCUUGUUUCGUGCAUACAAGGUGAGAAGAACCUCAAUGACCUUUUGAGCAAUCAAAAGGAAGUUGUGGCCAAGGAAGGAAUUGGGUUCACACCCAAGUCCAAGAACAAGAAGAAGGAUGACAAGGCCAAACGACCUCCCCCUCUCAAGCAAACUUUUGUGAAGGAGGGAGAGGGUGCUUCUAAGAAUAAGAAGAAGAACGUUGUGAAGGGUAGUGAUGCCAAGAAGGCUAAUGCUACCCCUCCCAACAAAGCCGGCGACUUUAACCCUUCUUAUGUGUUAUGCCAUGCUAGUGAUGGACAUGUCUAUGCCAAAUUUGCUGGUUCUUCUUAUGAGUACAUUGAAUGGUCUAUUUGGGUUCCUAAGACCCUUUUUACUAACAUAAAAGGACCCAUUACAAAAUUGGUACCUAAAACCAAGCAUUGAUCUCUUGUAGGUGUUUGCUUCCGGUGGGGGAUCAUGGUUGCUCGAUAGUGGAGCCACUAAUCAUAUGACCGGAAGCAAGGACUUGGUGGUGGAGGUUCACAAGAUUCCAUCUAUGCCCACCAAUGUCGAGUGGGGUGAUGCCUCAUCCUCUAAGGUAUUAGGACUUGGCAAGGUUGUCAUUUCUCAUGAUCUCACGAUCGAGAAGGUCAUGCUUGUUGAGUCCCUUGCAUACAAUUUACUUUCCGUUCGUCAACUUGCACUCAUGGGCUUUGCCAACUUCUUUUAUAUUGAUACUGUGGCCCUCUUGUGGAGCAAGACUCUUAAAGUAGCCUUUGUUGGGCAUGUCGAGAACGGUCUCUAUGUGAUUAACUUUUUGGAGCGACCCACUAAGACCGCGACAUGCCUAAUGGCUAAAGUUGACGUGGGAUGGCUUUGGCAUCGCCGUUUAGCCCUUGUCAAUAUGAGAUCUUUGCAAAGUCUUCUCAAGGGGGACCGUGUCCGUGGACUAACAAAUGUUAGUUUUGCUAAAGAUCAUGCUUGCAGUGCUUGUAUUGAAGGAAAGCUACAUGAAAAGGUUCACCCUCCCAUGACUAUCAUUUACUCGAAGAGGCCUUUGGAGCCCCUUCACUUGGAUCUCUUUGGGCCUCCAUCCUUUGAUAGCCUUGGGGGUAGAAAGUAUUGCUUGGUGAUUGUGGAUGAUUAUUCAAGAUACACUUGGGUAUAUUUCUUCAAGAGGAAGAGCGAGACCCAACAAACCGUCAUUGACUUUGCAAAUGAAGCCCAACGUCAACACAAUGCAAAGAUCUUGACAAUAAGAAGUGACAACAACACCGAGUUCAAGAACUACACCUUGGAUGAGUUUCUUAGUGAUGAGGGGAUCAAGCAUCAAUAUUCUGCACCAUACACCCCUCAAAAAAAUGGUGUAGCGGAGAGGAAGAACCGGACGUUGAUGGAUGCGGCAAGGACCAUGAUGGCGGAAUUCAAGUCUCCUUACAACUUUUGGGCCGAAGCCAUCAACACCGUGUGUCAUGCAUCCAAUCGGCUCUAUCUCCGCAAACGCUUGAACAAGACUCCAUAUGAGAUUCUCACCGGUAACAAGCCCAACCUCAAGUACUUUCGGGUGUUCGGGUGUAAGUGUUUCAUUCUCAAGAAAGGUGUUAGGUUGUCUAAAUUUGAGGCUAGAGCUUAUGAGGGCAUAUUUGUUGGUUAUUCUACAAACUCUCAUGCUUACCGUGUCCUCAAUAAGUCCACGGGACUUAUUGAGGAGACGUGUAAUGUGGAGUUUGAUGAGAAUAACGGCUCCCAAGUGGAGCAAAGCGGUACUUGUGAUGUAGGUGAUGAAAUUCCUCCCCAAGCCAUAAGAAGAAUGGGUGUUGGUCAUAUCCUACCCACUAAGGAACCCCUUGUGGCCGAAGGAGAAGGACAAUGUUCCACUCAAGUGUAACCAUCACCAACCCAAGACCCACACGCUUUCGAAGAACAAAGUGAAGGCCCUCAACAUCAUGAACAAGACCAACGGCAAGAUCAAUCUCAAGACGGUGUUGAAUCACCAAGUGAUGCCCAAGGUCAAGUUCUCUCCUCCGAGCAAGUUCAAGAUCAAGAGCAAGCUCAAGAUCAAGAACAAGCUCAAGACGGCGCUCAAGAUGAACAAGUGACCGCUCCUCAACUCACCCCCGAGGAGGAAUUGGAGCGUCGUGCCGCCAAGAUUGCAUCCAAGCUCUUGAUACGUCUUCGUCGUAUCUACUUUUCCAAACACUUAUGCCCUUGUUUUGGACUAUAACUUGCAUGAUUUGAAUAGAACUAACCCGGACUGACACUGCUUUCAGCAGAAUUGCCAUGGUGUUAUUCAUGUGCAGAAACAAAAGUUAUCGGAAUGACUUGAAACUCCACGGAACAUAUUUUUGGAAAAUAUUAAAAAUACUGGAAGAAGAAUCCACGUCAGGGGGCCUCCACCUGUCCACGAGGGUGGGGGCGCACCCCCCUGUUUCGUGGGCCCCCUGACGCUCCACUGACCUCAACUCCAACUCCAUAUAUUCACUUUCGGGGAGAAAAAAAUCAGGGAGAAGGAUUCAUCGCGUUUUACGAUACGGAGCCGCCGCCAAGCCCUAAAAACCUCUCGGGAGGGCUGAUCUGGAGUCCGUUCGGGGCUCCGGAGAGGGGAAUCCGUCGCCAUCGUCAUCAUCAACCAUCCUCCAUCACCAAUUUCAUGAUGCUCACCGCCGUGCGUGAGUAAUUCCAUCGUAGGCUUGCUGGACGGUGAUGGGUUGGAUGAGAUUUAUCAUGUAAUCGAGUUAGUUUUGUUAGGGUUUGAUCCCUAGUAUCCACUAAGUUCUGAGAUUGAUGUUGCUAUGACUUUGCUAUGCUUAAUGCUUGUCACUAGGGCCCGAGUGCCAUGAUUUCAGAUCUGAACCUAUUAUGUUUUCAUGAAUAGAUGUGAGUUCUUGAUCCUAUCUUGCAAGUCUAUAGUCACCUACUAUGUGUUAUGAUCCGGCAACCCCGAAGUGACAAUAAUCGGGACCACUCCCGGUGAUGACCAUAGUUUGAGGAGUUCAUGUAUUCACUAUGUGUUAAUGCUUUGGUCCGGUACUCUAUUAAAAGGAGGCCUUAAUAUCCCUUAGUUUCCGUUAGGACCCCGCUGCCACGGGAGGGUAGGACAAAAGAUGUCAUGCAAGUUCUUUUCCAUAAGCACGUAUGACUAUAUUCGGAAUACAUGCCUACAUUACAUUGAUGAAUUGGAGCUAGUUCUGUGUCACCCUAUGUUAUGACUGUUACAUGAUGAACCGCAUCCGGCAUAAUUCUCCAUCACCGUUCCAAUGCCUACGAGCUUUUCACAUAUUGUUCUUCGCUUAUUUACUUUUCCGUUGCUACUGUUACAAUCAUUACAAAACCCAAAAAUAUUACUUUUGCUACCGUUACCGUUACUUCCAUAUUACUUUGCUACUAAAUACUUUGCUGCAGAUACUAAGUUAUCCAGGUGUGGUUGAAUUGACAACUCAGCUACUAAUACUUGAGAAUAUUCUUUGGCUCCCCUUGUGUCGAAUCAAUAAAUUUGGGUUGAAUACCCUACCCUCGAAAACUGUUGCGAUCCCCUAUACUUGUGGGUUAUCAAGACUAUUUUCUGGCGCCGUUGCCGGGGAGCAUAGCUCUAUUCUUUGAGUCACUUGGGAUUUAUAUCUGCUGGUCACUAUGAAGAACUUGAAAGACGCAAAAACAAAAAUUUAUCCCUCAACUACGAUGGGAGGUAAGGUACUGCGAUCUAGCUCUGCACUUGAUUCACCUUCUGUUUUGAGUAAGCUUGCGACACCUAAACCUGCUUCUGCUAUUCAUUCUGAUAUAUCGCAUAUUAUUGAUGAUGCCACUUCUGCUAUGCAUGAUACUUAUGAUGAAACUACUUCUAUGCUUGAUACUACUGUGCCACUUGGUGAAUUUCUUGAUGAACAACUUGCUAGGGUUAGAGAGAAUGAAAUUAUUGAAACUGACAAUACUGAAGAUAGUGAUGAUGAAGACUCUCUAAAUAUGAAUUACCUGUUGUUCCUGAGGGUUAUGUUUUGGAGGAAGAAGCUGCUAGAGCUAUUCUUGCUUGCAAUGAUAGAUAUGAUCUUAACAAGCUAUUAGCUAAAUGGAAGCAGCGAUCUCUUAAUGCUAGAAUGAAACCUGACCCUGCUUUUGCUGCUUCACCUAUCUGUGUUACUGAUAAGGAUUAUGAAUUCUCUGUUGAUCCUGAUAUAAUUACUUUGGUUGAAUCUGAUCCUUUUUAUGGCUAUGAAUCUGAAACUAUUGUGGCACAUCUUACUAAAUUAAAUGAUAUAGCCACCCUGUUCACUAAUGAUGAGAAAUCUCGCUAUCUUUAUAUCCUUAAAAUAUUUCCGUUCUCAUUAAAGGGUGAUGCUAAGAUAUGGUCUAACUCUCUUGAUCCUGGUUGUGUGCGUAGUCCCCAGGAUAUGAUUUAUUACUUCUCUGCUAAAUAUUUCCCUGCUCAUAAGAAACAAGCUGCUUUAAGGGAUAUAUAUAAUUUUGUGCAAACUGAAGAAGAGAGUCUCCCACAAGCUUGGGGAGGCUUCUCCAAUUACUUAAUGCUUUGCGUGAUCAUCCUCUUAAGAAAAAUGAAAUACUUGAUAUCUUUUAUAAUGGACUAACCGAUGCUUCCAGAGAUUACCUGGAUAGUUGUGUUGGUUCUGUUUUCAGGGAAAGAACACCGGAUGAAGCUGAAAUUCUAUUGAAUAAUAUGUUGACCAAUGAAAAUAAUUGGACACUUCCUGAGCCAACUCCUGAGCCUAUUCCUAAACCAACUCCGAAGAAGAGAGGUGUUCCACUUCUCAGUCCCGAAGAUAUGCAAGAGGCAAAGAAAUCUAUGAAAGAAAAAGGUAUAAAAGCUGAAGAUGUGAAGAAUUUACCUCCUAUUGAAGAAAUACAUGGUCUUAAUUUACCGCCCGUUGAAGAAAUACAUGAUCUUAAUCCAUCACCUAUUGAAGAAACUCAUGGUCUUGAUAACCCGACACAAGUAGUGAAGGUAAAUUCUCUCUAUAGAUUUGAUGAAGGUGAUAUUCCUCACUAUAAGUCUGCUAGACAAUGCUUAGAAGAGUUUGAUAAUUUUAUUGUCGAACAAGAAAACUUCAAUGCUUAUUUUGGUAGACAAUUGAAAUACAAUUCCGAUACGCUUGAACACUUGGGUGAUUAUAUGUCUAGAGUUAAAGGUGAACUUAAACUCAUUAGUAAACAUGCUUCUAUGGUUACCACUCAAGUAGAACAAGUACUUAAAGCUCAAAAUGAUUUGCUCAAUAAAUUAAAUAGUAAGAAUAAUGAUUAUGCUGUUAGAGUGGCUACUAGAACUGGUAAAAUGACUCAGGAACCUUUGUAUCCUGAAGGCCACCCUAAGAGAAUUGAGCAAGAUUCUCAGAGAAAUAAUAUAGAUGCACCUAGUCCUUCUAAAAGGAAGAAAAAGAAAAAUGAUAGGACUUUGCAGGCUUCUAGUGAACCUAUUGCUGAAACACCUGAGAAUCCAAAUGAUAUUUCUAUUUUUGAUGCUGAAACACAAUCUGGUAAUGAACAUGAACCUAAUGAAAAUGUUAAUGAUAAUGUUCAUGAUGAUGCUCAACCUAGCAAUGAUAAUGAUGUAGAAAUUGAACCUGCUGUUGAUCUUGAUAACCCACAAUCAAAGAAUCAACAUUAUGAUAAGAGAGACUUUGUUGCUAGGAAACACGGUAAAGAAAGGGAACCUUGGGUUCAGAAACCCAUGCCUUUCCCUCCCAAACCAUCCAAGAAAAAGGAUGAUGAGGAUUUUGAGCGCUUUGCUGAAAUGAUUAGACCUAUCUUCUUGCGUAUGCGAUUAACUGAUAUGCUCAAAAUGAAUCCUUAUGCUAAGUAUAUGAAAGAAAUUGUUACUAAUAAGAGAAAGAUACCGGAAGCUGAAAUUUCCACCAUGCUUGCUAAUUAUACCUUCAAGGGUGGAAUACCUACGAAACUUGGAGAUCCAGGAGUACCAACUAUACCAUGCUCCAUUAAAAGAAACUAUGUUAAAACUGCUUUAUGUGAUCUUGGAGCCGGUGUUAGUGUUAUGCCUCUCUCUUUAUAUCGUAGACUUGAUUUGAAUAAGUUGACACCUACUGAAAUAUCUUUGCAAAUGGUUGAUAAAUCAACUGCUAUACCUGUCGGUAUUUGUGAGGAUGUGCCUGUUGUGGUUGCAAACAUUACUAUUUUAACGGACUUUAUUAUUCUUGAUAUUCCCGAGGACGAUAGUAUGUCUAUUAUUCUUGGAAGACCCUUUUUGAAUACUGGAGGGGCUGUUAUUGAUUGCAACAAAGGCAAUGUCACUUUUCAUGUUAAUGGUAAUGAGCAUACGGUACACUUUCCGAGGAAACAACCUCAAUUCAUAGUAUAAAUUCUAUUGGAAAAAUUCCAUCGAUUAUUUUUGGAGGUUUUGAAUUUCCUCUUCCUACUGUCAAAAAGAGAUAUGAUAUUCUUAUUAUUGGGGAUGUGCAUAUCCCCGUUGAGGUAACAUAGUGUUAUUCGAAAUUUCUCUGGUUCCAUGUUAUUCGGAAUGAGUUUGUUAACAAGACUUGAUCAACCUUGUUAGUGGAUUCCUAUUGAUGAGCAUGAGAUGGAUGAAACUAGAAGCACAACCUUCUGUACCCUCUCUCUACUUUCUGUUAUUUAGUUGAAAUAAAGUAAAAUAGUAUUUUCUGUCUGUUUUCUGAAUUAUCCAUGCAAUAUAAAAAUACCCCAAAAAUAAAAGUUCUCCAAAUGCCCUAAAAUUGAAGUAUGAUUUUUUCUGGAACAUUUGAGAAUAACUGGCACUGAGAGCACAGCAGGGGGAGCAAGCACCUGGCCACGAGGGUCCAGGGCGCGCCCCUGCCUCGUGGGCCCACGGUGGCUCCCCUCCACUUAUUCCUGCACCCAUACACUUCUUCUUGCUCCCAAAAAAAAUCACUAUCCAGCUCAAGCACGAGUUCUAGCUCAUUUUGCUGCGAUUUUCGAUCUCCUUGAUCAAAGCACCUCUCACAAAACUGCUUGGGGGGAUUGUUCCUUGGUGGUGACUCCUCCAUUGGUCCAAUUAGUUUUUGUUCUAGUGCUUUAUUCAUUGCAAAUUUGUGCUGCCUAGGUGACCAUGUUCUUGAGCUUGCAUGUCAAAUUUAUAUGGUUCCAAGUACUUCUAAUGAAUGAUAUAGGCUCUAGGCACUUGUAGGAGUUGUUGCUAUCAAUGUUGUUGAGCUUGGUUCACUUUUAUUUGAAGUUACUAAAAAUUUCAGAAAUUUUUUAGAGGAAGAAAUAUGCUUAGGAAAAUGUACCAAGGUGGUUCUUCAAGGAAGCAAGGACCCAGGCUUGCAAUGCGUGAUGUUGAUGAUGAGCCACCAAGGAACGCUCCAGUGCGGCCUUGUGAAAGGCCUUCAGAGGACUUCAUGAAUCGAGCGGGAAUUAAGGAAGAAUUUAACGCAUAUUUUCGUAACGCUGAUCUUCUGAGCUUCGAGGCAGAGAAGUGCCGCAAAUACCACUAUCUCACUAGUUCCUUUGUGAGGAGGUUUGAAUUUUCAUCUUCACGUAAUUCUCAAACUGUCCUGUUUGAUCUUUAUGAAAAAUCUUAUACUAUGGACUUAGAGGAUUUUACCACUGCUUGCAAACUUCCACAAUGGGUAGUGCUAGUGAACCCCACAAGUCUGAAUUUAGAGAAUUUCUUGCUAGUAUAACUAUGGGGGAAUCUAGAGAUAUAACACAAGCUACCAUAGGGAGUAUUCAUUUUCCUGCUAUACAUUAUUUUGCUCUCUUCAUAGGUAGGUGCAUCAAUGGUAAGGAUGAAGCAUGUCACAUGUGUGUCCCUGAUCUCAGUAUUCUUAGGAGUGCUGUGUUGGGAGAUAAAUCUUAUAAUUUGGGAGCCAUUGUUGCACGUAGGUUGCAUCAUAAUAGAUUUAAUGGAGAUUUCUUUGGUGGAAUUUAUGCAACCCGCUUAGCUGAUUUUCUUGGUGUAACCAUACGCGAUGAUGAUAUUGAAUUGCCUCGCACCUAUCUAGACUUUAGUGCUAUGGUUCACCAUCAGUUUGUUGAGAGAAAUGAACCGCCUCUCCAGUAUCGCUUAAUCUUUGACAGACGUCGUGCUGUCCAUAUUACUCUCCCUGCUCCUGCCUUCUUUGAUUAUCAGGCAAAAGGAAGACAUUUUAUCACCAGAGAGGAGGCAGAUGAGUACGAAAGGAGGGCGGAGGCAGCGCGCCGUCACGCUGCAGCUCAGGAGGCAAUAGCCGCUGCAUCUCAGUACGACCCCGGUUACAACUAUGGAUAUCCGCCAGGCCACCCGUGGCAAUAAACCAACUUAGGCCAAAAGCCUAAGCUUGGAGGAGUACGUAUUUCUCACCGACAUUACAUUUAUGUUCACACACUCAUUGCUAGAUGUCGGUGCUCAUACUUUUUCACUAUACUAUCCAUGCUAGCUUAUUUUCUUAUUCUUGCUUUCUUCUUGUGUGUUUGUUAAAUCUUAAGAAAAACCAAAAAAAAA